rnacentral:rRNA from 1 species
UACGUAGGGUGCGAGCGUUAAUCGGAAUUACUGGGCGUAAAGUGUGCGCAGGCGGCUUCGCAAGUCGAGUGUGAAAAUCCCCCGAGCUUAACUUGGGAAUUGCGCUCGAAACUACGGAGCUGGAGUGUGGCAGAGGAAGGUGGAAUUCCACGUGUAGCGGUGAAAUGCGUAGAGAUGUGGAGGAACACCGAUGGCGAAGGCAGCCUUCUGGGCCAACACUGACGCUCAUGCACAAAGCGUGGGGAGCAAACAGG